rnacentral:tRNA from 1 species
AAGGGAGACCUAAUUCAGGUAGGAGACGAAAAAAAAGUAGUCCCAACCAAGAAUCAAUCCCAAAAGGUCGGAGCGAGGCGAAAUUGGCUUUCAAACUAGGCUCUGGGUUCACACAAGACCUGAAUCAGGAACAAGGGCUAUUAGCUCAGGUGGUUAGAGCGCACCCCUGAUAAGGGUGAGGUCCCUGGUUCGAGUCCAGGAUGGCCCACCUGCACAGGUGGCAAAAACAAGAGAAGCGAGGAAUCAGCACCUUAUCUUAUCUAUAUAUAUAUAGGAGAGAAUGCUGGCUCUGAGUAAAGAGUCCAGAGGAACCUUGAAAACUGCAUAGAGCUAGGUGAAAAAGCCAAAAAAGAAGACCGCAA